AACGCAAAUGGCGCUUGUAGCAAUACAAGCACACUUGUUUGAGUGUCGUUAAUCAUCUACUCUCUCAAGAGUGACUGAUCAUGGUCAAACCGAAUGGUUUCGUCUAUGUAAAUAAAAUGAUAACAUCUCUAACAAUGUUUGAAAAGACAAAGUAGUGAUUGUUAACCAUUAAAUCUCAUCAUCGACCUCAAAUCAAGUGAGAGUACCCGCUGAAUUUAA
rnacentral:misc_RNA from 1 species